CCCCUCUCAAGGUCACAACUUGAGAGUUUCCAGUACUCUACCAGUCUCGACUAUGGGAGGGAGAGUCAAGUAGAGGCCUACCCAUUCCAUUCCUAGCCUGGGCAGUGGCCAGCGAGUGGAAGGCAAUCUGCCACAAGU